GAUGAACGCUGGCGGCGUGCCUAAUACAUGCAAGUCGAGCGAAUGGAUUAAGAGCUUGCUCUUAUGAAGUUAGCGGCGUACGGGUGAGUAACACGUGGGUAACCUGCCCAUAAGACUGGGAUAACUCCGGGAAACCGGGGCUAAUACCGGCUAACAUUUUGAACCGCAUGGUUCGAACUUGAAAGGCGGCUUCGUCUGUCACUUAUGGAUGGACCAGCGUCGAAUUAGCUAGUUGGUGAGGUAACGGCUCACCAAGGCAACGAUGCGUAGCCGACCUGAGAGGGUGAUCGGCCACACUGGGACUGAGACACGGCCCAGACUCCUACGGGAGGCAGCAGUAGGGAAUCUUCCGCAAUGGACGAAAGUCUGACGGAGCAACGCCGCGUGAGUGAUGAAGGCUUUCGGGUCGUAAAACUCUGUUGUUAGGGAAGAACAAGUGCUAGUUGAAUAAGCUGGCACCUUGACGGUACCUAACCAGAAAGCCACGGCUAACUACGUGCCAGCCGCCGCGGUAA
rnacentral:rRNA from 1 species